UGGGAGACAGAUACCUAGGCAGUUCUGAGUACCAGUCUGUCUGUCACAAGCUCUCCCUACAGUAGAAGUGCUCUCUGAUGACCGGGGCGAAUUAAGAGAAAUCGCAACGGACAGAUACGGAGCAGACAAGU